UAGCACCCCUCCGUACCCCCCUGGUGCUGUCCUGCCCCCCUCGGUUCCUCUGUGCCCAACGGGACCCCCAGGGUGCCCCCCCCUGCAGCCCCCCUAUGCUGGGGUUCCCCCUCUGAUCCCCCCUGGGCUGGACAAGAAGGCGGCGAAGAAGAUGAAGAAGAGGAUGAAGAAGGCUCAAAAGAGGCACAAGCGCAAUUUGUCCUCCUCCUCUUCCUCCUCCUCCUCCUCCAGCAGCGACUCCGACUGAUGGCGGUGCCACCAUCGGUGUCCUGGGGCCACUUGGGGGCCACCCGUGUCCUCCUGUGGCCCCCCCACGUGCUGUGACUACCUGUGGGACCACCCAUGGGCACCUCCUGGAGUCCCACAGGACCACCCCUGACCACGUGGAACCCACGACCACCUGGGAGCAUCCGUGACCACCCCAUGUCCAUGUAGGAUCUCCUGAAGUCACUCAUGACCACCCCAUAUCUGAGACCUCCUGGGACCCCCCCACAACCCCCCCCAUGACCCUCAUGACCACCUGCGACCACCCGGAACCACUCAUAACGAACAUCACCGUGACCCGUGUUGAUCCAUGACCACCAGGAACUGUCUGGGACCACCCUGACCACCCCAUAUCCAUGUAGGACCUCCUGUCACCACCCCAUAUCCACCCCUGAUCUCCUGGGAAUCCCCCCCCCCUCCCGGCCACCCAUGGCCCAUGCCCACGUGGUGUCCCCAUAUUCCUUCACCCCAUGGGCUUGUUGGGGGGGUGUUUUGGGUUCAGUGGGUGUCAGCAUAUUAUGGGGUGGUCCCAUUGGGUUCUGUGGGGCCCCAUUGGGUUCUGUGGGGUUCUUUGGGGUCCCAUUGGGUUCUGUAGGGCCUCACUGGGUUCUCUGGCGUCCCAUUGGGUUCUGUAGGGCCCCAUUGGGUUCUGUGGGGUCCCAUUGGGUUCUGUGGGGUUCUGUGGGGUUCUGUGGUUCUGUGGGGUUCCGCGGUGUCACAGCUGCCGGGAUUGCUGCUGCUGCCUUCCAAUAAAGCCCUGAAACCCCCCCA